AGCACUGUAGGUGUCAGCAGCCGCGGUAAUACGUAGGGUGCGAGCGUUGUCCGGAAUUAUUGGGCGUAAAGGGCUCGUAGGCGGUUUGUCGCGUCGGGAGUGUAAAACACCGGGCUUAACUCGGUGCUUGCUUUCGAUACGGGCAGACUAGAGGUAUGCAGGGGAGAACGGAAUUCCUGGUGUAGCGGUGAAAUGCGCAGAUAUCAGGAGGAACACCGGUGGCGAAGGCGGUUCUCUGGGCAGUUACCUGACGCUGAGGAGCGAAAGUGUGGGGAGCGAACAGGAUUAGAUACCCUGGUACGUCCACACCGUAAACGUUGGGACGCUAGGUGUGGGAUCCAUUCCACGGGUUCCGUGCCGCAGCUAACGCAUU
rnacentral:rRNA from 1 species